rnacentral:lncRNA from 1 species
AAAGAAAAGAUAGUGGAGUAAAGUGCAAAAUUACGAUAUUUUGCACCGAGGUAAGUAAACACGUGACUUAAUGUAUUAUUUUGAUAUUAUUUGAUAUAUGUUGAGAUUUAUUUGGAAUUAAAAUAAAUUUUUGGCAAUAUCCUAAAAAUGUUGUUAAAUCGGGAAAGGUGAUAAAGGGUUGCAAUAUAUGGGUUAUGGGUUGAACACUCGGAAUAAGCCGGAGUAUGUUGUAUAUAAAAGGGGUUGCUGUGUGCUGAUUCCCCGAUUUAUGGGUGGUGCUAUGUGCGUGAUCCACCAUAUCUUUGAAAUGUGAAAGGGGGUUGCUAUGUGCUGAUUCCCCCGAGGGGUUGCUAAGUGCUGAUUCCCCGAUUUCAUUGGUGGUGCUAAGUGCGAUAUCCACAUAUCUUAAAAUGAAAGGGGGGGUUGCUAUGUGCUGAUUCCCCCGAGGGGUUGCUAAGUGCUGAUUCCCCGAUUCAUUGGUGGUGCUAAGUGCGAUAUCCACCAUAUCUUUGAAAUAAAAAGGGGGUUGCUAUGUGCUGAUUCCCCCGAGGGGUUGCUAAGUGCUGAUUCCCCGAUUCAGUGGUGGUGCUAAGUGCGGGAUCCACCAAUAACGGCUAACAUUCCGAGUGUUCAACGAAAAAGUGUGGAAGAUGAAUAUUGCCAUAUGGUGGAAAAUUUUAUGGGGUAAAUAUUGAGUUGAAUACUAAAUCGACCCAUGUAUGAGAUGGGAGAAAAUAUCAAAAACGCAAAAGGAACGAUUUAAUUAUAAACUGUGUUGAACAACAGCAAUUGGGUAACUUUGAAAAAAUCACCAUAAAUGGUGGAAAAUGAAUGAGAAGCUGAAUAAUAUAUGAAAUUGAAGUUGAAUGUAUCUAUUCUCAUAUGAAAGAAAUAGAAUAAGCAAAGGAGUUGUAUUUUUGGAGAUAUCUGAAUUUUACUGAAACAGGGCUGGAUUGAUUUCGAGAUCCCCUGUUCUAACUUUGGAAAAUUACCAAAAAUUGAAAAAAAAUAAUUAUGGCAUGAAAUUUAUAUCCCUGGAAUCCUUAUUGAGUCUAUUUUUAUUAGAAACAAGCGAAACCAUUUUUAAAAUUUUGUACAGAGAGUUAAGUGAAUUUUAGUGAGUAAGGGUCAGAACCGUUGGGCAGUGAAACAGGGGAAGGUUUAAUGAAUAAACUGUACUAAUUGGCUGGGUGAAAAAUUCUGAAAUUUUUAUGGUGAAAUGGUAUAUGAGUCUAGUUUCAGGGAAAAUUUACGGAACUCAAUUUGGAGCCCUGUAGCUCCAGAUAAAAAUAAAUUAGCGACUAUGACGCAGAAAAACAGCUUGCUGGAAAUUGCCUAAACAAUAAAGUUAUUCAUGAAUAAGUUUAUAUUUUGGUGUAGUUAUGGGAGUAAUUACUUAUUUAUCAUGUGUUUACUUACUAAGCUAUAUGCUUACUCGAUUUUAUUUUUCUCUUGGUUAUAGUGACUUCCAACAACUCGGAAAUUGGAACGAAGUCAGACAAUCAUCUACACUAUCCUUCACAUUUGGGGUAUUUUACUACUAGUGUUCCGAAAUUUUAUGGCAUGUAUAGACAAUUUAUGUAAUGUGGGAUCAUCAUGUAAAUAUAUGUUAUGAUUCCCUUUUAAAUGUAGUGUUUAUUAAUAGUUAAACUAUAUGUGUGUUUAUACAAAUAAAAUUGGUUGGUAUAUUGGAAUGUGUUCUAAAUUUGCAGGAGGUUUAAGCAAAAAUAAGUAGGAAUGCUGUCGAAAUUUUUUAAAAAUUUAGUAAUACCUCAUACUCUGUUCCGGUAAGGAAUACGGGUAAGGGGUGUUACAGUAAAUAUUGAGAUUUGAAUAUUAAACUUAUAUUGAAAUUAUUGGAUUAACUUUGAGUUUAAGAUCCUAAAAUAUUUUUUUUAAUAAUAAAAAACCUCACCGUUCUUGAUUAAGUGAAUGUCAUGGAUUCUCAAAUUAGUCUCUUCCUUAGUUGAGUUUCAAUUCAAUUGUAAAAUUACUAAUAAUUUAUUAUUUUAAUUAUAUUCUUAUCUUUUUUAUAUUUUUAUAUAAAAUCAACAACUUUAUUAUCUUAAUUUUAUCAUUUCAUCUAAAGCUACAUUUAAUUUUUUACGUAUUGCUUUUAUAAAAUUGAUGAGAAAAAAAAUUCUAUCUACAUAGUAAGUUGUGUCCAAAUCUAAUUUAUAAUGGUUAAAAUAUGUUUUCUUUUCAUAAAUUUAAAAUUUAGUCAUUGUAUUUUUCAUUUUCGGGAAUUUAGUUUUUUAUUAAAUUCGUUAGUGUGACAUUUUGAAAAUUUUAAAAAAUAUCAUUUGUCAGCAAUAUAACUCAAAAAUGACAUUGUAAUAACUUGAAUUUAAUAAAAUAAUUUUAACAGUGUUAACAGUUAUACCUAAAUUUUAAAUUAAAUUCCUAAAAAUAAAGUACAAGGACUAAAUUUUAAAUUUACAAAAGAGUACAGAUGUUAUGACAUAUUUUAACCAAUUUAUAAUUAAUUCUGUUUAUGUUGUAAUAAUCAUCUAAUAAGUGUCAAACCAAUUGCAGUGACUAUAAGCGUAGAAGGAACUCCAAAUUUAAGGUGAUUCCAGAAAGACAAUGUGUAGCCAAGAUGUGGUGCUCGACGAGCUUGCUCACAUACUAUCAAGUUCGCCGCCGAUCCCAACAACGACAGGUUUCCGGCUACCGUGCUCACC